UUCCGGUUGAUCCUGCCGGACCCCACUGCUAUCGAGGUGGGACUAAGCCAUGCUAGUUGAGCGCACAGAACUAUGUCUGUGAGCGGCACACUGCUCAGUAACACGUAGCUAACCUACCCUUAGGACGUGGACAACCCCGAGAAAUUGGGGCUAAUCCGCGAUAGAUGUAUUGUCCUGGAAUGGUAUUACGUCUAAAGGUAUCCCAUACAUGUUUGGUAUAUGCCUAAGGAUGGGGCUGCGGCCGAUCAGGCUGUUGGUGAGGUAAUGGCUCACCAAACCUUUGACCGGUACGGGCCAUGAGAGUGGUAGCCCGGAGAUGGACACUGAGACAAGGGUCCAGGCCCUACGGGGCGCAGCAGGCGCGAAACCUCCUCAAUGCACUUACGUGCGAAGGGGCUACCUCGAGUGCCACCUGAUGAAGGUGGCUUUUCCUAGGUCUAAAAAGCCUUGGGAAUAAGAGGGGGGCAAGACUGGUGUCAGCCGCCGCGGUAACACCAGCCCCUCGAGUGGUGGGGAUGAUUAUUGGGCCUAAAGCGUCCGUAGCUUGCCGUAUAAGUUUCCCGUUAAAUCCAGUGUCUCAAGCGUUGGACCGCGGGAAAUACUGUACGGCUAGAGAGUGGGAGAGGUCAGCGGUAUUCUGGGGGUAGGGGCGAAAUCCUUUGAUCCCCGGAGGACCACCAGUGGCGAAGGCUGCUGUCUAGAACACGUCUGACGGUCAGGGACGAAAGCUGGGGUAGCGAACCGGAUUAG
rnacentral:rRNA from 1 species